rnacentral:rRNA from 3 species
GCCGGGAACUCAAAGGAGACUGCCAGUGAUAAACUGGAGGAAGGUGGGGAUGACGUCAAGUCAUCAUGGCCCUUACGACCAGGGCUACACACGUGCUACAAUGGCAUAUACAAAGAGAAGCGACCUCGCGAGAGCAAGCGGACCUCAUAAAGUAUGUCGUAGUCCGGAUUGGAGUCUGCAACUCGACUCCAUGAAGUCGGAAUCGCUAGUAAUCGUAGAUCAGAAUGCUACGGUGAAUACGUUCCCGGGCCUUGUACACACCGCCCGUCACACCAUGGGAGUGGGUUGCAAAAGAAGUAGGUAGCUUAACCUUCGGGAGGGCGCUUACCACUUUGUGAUUCAUGACUGGGGUGAAGUCGUAACAAGGUAACCGUAGGGGAACCUGCGGUUGGAUCACCUCCUUACCUUAAAGAA